GAUGAACGCUAGCUACAGGCUUAACACAUGCAAGUCGAGGGGCAGCGCAGUGUAGCAAUACAUGGGCGGCGACCGGCGCACGGGUGCGUAACGCGUAUCCAACCUUCCCGUUACUCAGGGAUAGCCUUCCGAAAGGGAGAUUAAUACCUGAUGGUGUUCAAAUUCCGCAUGUUAUUUGAACUAAAGAUUUAUCGGUAACGGAUGGGGAUGCGUGACAUUAGGUAGAUGGCGGGGUAACGGCCCACCAUGCCUACGAUGUCUAGGGGUUCUGAGAGGAAGGUCCCCCACAUUGGAACUGAGACACGGUCAAACUCCUACGGGAGGCAGCAGUGAGGAAUAUUGGUCAAUGGGCGAAAGCCUGAUGCAGCGACGCCGCGUGAGCGAAGAAGUAUUUCGGUAUGUAAAGNUCUAUCAGCAGGGAAGAAAACUGACGGUACCUGACUAAGAA
rnacentral:rRNA from 1 species